UAGAUAGAACUUUUAGUAAGAACGUCUUUAAUAUUAGAUAAAUUUUAGACGUGUUUAUAAUAUUUAUCUCGAUUAAGAAUGCGGUGUACGCAUCUUUCUGAGACCUUUAAAAAUAAUUCGAGGAUACAAUACAUCUUCUAUUUUGCAGACAAUAAUAAAGAGUCAUUUCCUUUUGAUUAGGGAUUCAAAAAGGUGACUUGGAACACCAUAACUUGAUUCUAAGUGGUGACUCUGAAAUUAAAAUAAUCCCUAUUCAAAACCGUCACUUUUAUUGGAAAACCCCUUUGACCUUGAAGCCUCGAGCGAAAAAAGGGGUGUGACAUCUCUGGCGACUCUACUGGGGACAAUAAGAAUUCAAGCUUUUUAUAUUAACUUAUACUUGCUUAAUUAUUGUUAAUAUUGUGUUUGUUGGCCUUAUAUACUACUUGUCGCUCAUUUACUGCUUUGAUAUUGUUGAACUGUUUUAUAAACUAUUUUCUCUCGUGUACCCCCUCUGAGUCUCUGAAAUAGGAUAGAAGGAAUGCAGCGUAUGCAUCCUAACUUUCUUUUGAGAUAGCCGGAGUGUCAAGGCACCUAGUGAAGGAUUAUAGCCACGCAUGUUAGGCGGGGUUCGAAUCGACAAUGAAGGCAGUGUUGCCCUGCUACCGACCAAGUUGUCCCUCCCCAGAUCGAGUGUUCACUCGGGUAUAAAAUGUCUCCCCCUGUUCGUGGAAAGCGUCCAAA